UCCAGACUCCUACGGGAGGCAGCAGUGAGGGAUAUUGGGCAAUGGGGGAAACCCUGACCCAGCGACGCCGCGUGAGGGAAGACGGUCUUCGGAUUGUAAACCUCUGUCUUUGGGGACGAAAAAGGACGGUACCCAAGGAGGAAGCUCCGGCUAACUACGUGCCAGCAGCCGCGGUAAUACGUAGGGAGCGAGCGUUGUCCGGAAUUACUGGGUGUAAAGGGAGCGCAGACGGCAGUGCAAGUCUGGAGUGAAAGCCCGUGGCUUAACUACGGGACUGCUCUGGAAACUGUGCAGCUAGAGUGCAGGAGAGGCAGGCGGAAUUCCUAGUGUAGCGGUGAAAUGCGUAGAUAUUAGGAGGAACACCGGUGGUGAAGGCGGCCUGCUGGACUGUAACUGACGUUGAGGCUCGAAAGCGUGGGGAGCAAACAGGAUUAGAUACCCCAGUA
rnacentral:rRNA from 1 species